AAUCCCAGAUCUGGUCGCCGCCAGCCAUCGGCGUCCCAGAUCCCUCGUCGUCUCUACGCAGAUGCGCCCGAUAUCCGUCGCCAACCUGCUGCGCCCCAGAUCCCUCGUCGCCGGAUGCGCCUCCGCCAACCUCUCUCCCGCCCCAUUCGCUAUACUCGCUGGGUUGCCGAACAAGGAACGGCCGCCUCCGGGAUAUGGCCGUCAACUUCGCCUCUACCUCCGGAGGGUCGCCGUAAAAGUACCUGCUAAUGUCGUCAAUUGAUUGCCAUCGAAUCCUUCUAUGAGUGCCACCCCUUUCCAUCCAGAAAAUAACGAGAAUGGUCUCCUUCCUCAUUUGCUGGGUACUGGUAGAAGAAAAUGGCUCUAUACAGACAUUGGUUUUGAAUAGGCCAAGGUUACAGGACUCCUAAAAAAUCACUUCUUCAGAGGAGGGAAACAGAGUUGGACUGUUAAUUGUAAAGGAGCAAAAUUCAAGAUUCGGGAUCUACGAGAGAUGCAAGAGCUUUUGUUCUUAUAAAGGGACCAAUGAUCCGUUGCAUGGAAAUUACACGGAAUAGGAUCAUCACAACAAGGAGGCUGAAGCAGGACUUUAAGGUUAUCAAUAAAGGCAAGAGAUUCUACUUAUUCUUCUGAAUAAAGAGGGUAACCUUGAAGAGAAGCUUGCAACUUAAGCUAUAACCAAACAUUAUGAAAAGAGGUCUCACGCUGUGAAUAUUUAGUUGAUGCACUAGUGUUUUUAGAUGUUGCGCCUCUGUUUUCAUUCUCUUUUGAUUCAUGUAUGUAAA